rnacentral:rRNA from 1 species
UGCCAGCCGCCGCGGUAAGACGGAGGUGGCAAACGCUGUUCGGAAUCACUGGGCUUAAAGGGCGUGUAGACGGCCGAUCAAGUCGGGUGUGAAAUCCCUCGGCUCAACCGUGGAAGUGCAUUUGAAACUGGAUGGCUUGAGUACUGGAGGGGGUGGUGGAAUUCCCGGUGUAGAGGUGAAAUUCGUAGAUAUCGGGAGGAAUACCGGUGGCGAAGGCGACCACCUGGCCAGAUACUGACGCUGAGGUGCGAAAGCGUGGGGAGCAAACAGGAUUAGAUA